CCGCCUCCUUCUUCCCUUUUGCAGAGCCGGUGCGUGCGGUACAGGGGCCUGGCGGCUGGCCAUGAUACAUCAAGCAAGUUCUUCCCUCGCUGGUAAUUACAAAACUGCAGACCGAGACCUGAUGUCACUUGCUAAGGUUUUAAUGGAGGAAGUUGGAAGCCCCAUAGAAGGAAGAUUCUCUGGCCUGAAGCAUGAAUCCUGAUGAUGAAAGGCUGCGUAAAAUAGAUUGGCUUCGGAUGACCACCUGCCUGAUGUAUGGAGAUAAAAAUUCCAACUUGAACACAGUUCCAUAAUGUUUGCAGGGAGAGUAAAGCACAGGACACUUCAUACAAAGUCAAGACUCAGCUAAAUCAGCGGAGUGCUGAUAACCAUCCAGUGCCUUUCCAUAACUUCUACCCUGUGUGCUCAGGACAGGC